CGGACGGCUGAGUAAUGAACAGGAACGUACCUUAAAGUGGGGGAUAGCCCAUCGAAAGAUGGGGUAAUACCGCAUGUGCUCGCAAGAGUAAAGCAGCAAUGCGCUUUGAGAGCGGCCUGUUUCCUAUCAGGUAGUUGGUGGGGUAAAUGCCUACCAAGCCUAUGACGGGUAGCUGGUCUGAGAGGAUGAUCAGCCAGAUCGGGACUGAGACACGGCCCGA
rnacentral:rRNA from 1 species